rnacentral:snRNA from 1 species
GUACUCACUUCGGCAGCAUAUAUACUAAAAUUGGAACAAUACAGAGAUUAGCAUGGCCCCUGCCCAAGGAUGACCCACAAAUUCAUGAAGCAUUCCAUAUUAAA